CCCUCACACCAGCAGCAAAACCCUGGUGGUUCUGCUGCGCCAGCGGAUAAUGCUAGCUACAAUUAUGGCCAGCCGCCUAUUUCAGGCUAUAAUCAGCAAGGACAAGGUUAUUCUCAAGAUGGCUAUGGUGGAUAUCAGGCACCACCUCAAUCUGGGUAUGGCCAGCCACCAGCAUAUGAUCAACAUGGUUAUCCUGCAGCCAACUAUGGUAAUGUGAGCAACCCAGCUCCAGAUACUUCCUCUUAUGGAUCUCAGGGGGAAUCAGCCCAAGCACCUCCUGUGCAGCCUGCUCCAGGGGGCCAGCAAGCAUACACUGCCAAUCAACAGCCUAGCCCAAACCCUGCAAGUUACCCGCCCCAAGUGCCUUCUCAGCCAGGUUAUGGAAUGCCCCCAACUUCUCAAACUGGUUAUGGGACUCAACCACCUGCUCAAUCUGCAUAUGGGCCUGGAUAUGGAGCACCACCUCAAGCACAAAAGCCUCCUGCUCAGUCACCCACCACUCCCGGUAGCUAUGGUCAACCACCAGCUGUGCAUCCAGGUUAUCCCCAUUCUCAGCCUCCACCUUCCGGAUAUGCUCAGCCUGAUUCUGGUGCACGUGUCCCACCAUCCAGUUAUGGUUCUACAGCAGCUCAGGCAGGCUAUGGUGGCCCCCCAGCGUAUGGUGCACCGCCGUCUGGUCAGCCAGGUUAUGGGCAGGCACCACCCUACAAUACAUCUUAUGGGGCUGCAGGAUACACACAGCCUCCUGCAUAUUCUGCUGAAGGAGCGAAUGGAAACACUCGUGGUGGGGCAUAUGAUGCUGCUGGUGCUGGUGCUCCUCCUGCUUCACAGACUGCUCAGCCAAGUGGAGUUGCCAAGACUUCCCCACAGAGUUAAAAGUGGGUUUUAAUAUUUGGUUGUGUUGUAUUUCUGUAGCAAGGCUAGUUAGGUUAGUGUUUUUAUGGAACUCUGUAUUUGGAUUUGUACUGUUUCAGUUAUUUGUUAUUGCUAGAUCUUAAAUUUCUUGUUUCCCAUGCUUUUUAUUUCCUCCUGAAUCCUAUCUUUGUUCUAUUUGAAUAAUUUGGUUUAUGGUGGACAUCGACAUGGUUACGUGUUGCUAGUUGUUUUUGGUGUUUCUCGAAUGAAUAUGUGUUCGAUGAGAAUGUUUCCUUUGCUAUCAAAAUGCAUCUCUCUUCAUUGUUCUUGCAUGUACAGUCACAAAUCGUCUUAUUGAGCAGUCUCCUUUGAAUCUUAUAUAAACGUUCUAGAGUAUCUGCAGAACACAGGCAGUGUUCAUUUCCUAGUCAAUUUCUCUUCCAUAAUCCUUUCGUUCUCUGUAACAAUGCUCUUCCUGCCUUCUCUUUCAAUCAAAACCUCUCUCAUUCCUUCAUUCCUUCCGGCCGAAUGUGCUACUUUUGCCUUUCGGGGCUGAACUGCAUUAGUCGCUUCCACAAAUCCUGGGUACUUCUGAAUAGGCCUCGGUG
rnacentral:lncRNA from 1 species